UAGAGGGGGGUAGAAUCCCAGGUGUAGCGGUGAAAUGCGUAGAGAUUUGGAGGAAUACCGGUGGCGAAGGCGGCCCCCUGGACGAAGACUGACGCUCAGGUGCGAAAGCGUGGGGAGCAAACAGUUAUUAGAUACCCUGGUAGUCCACGCCGUAAACGGUGUCGACUUGGAGGUUGUGCCCUUGAGGCGUGGCUUCCGGAGCUAACGCGUUAAGUCGACCGCCUGGGGAGUACGGCCGCAAGGUUAAAACUCAAAUGAAUUGACGGGGGCCCGCACAAGCGGUGGAGCAUGUGGUUUAAUUCGAUGCAACGCGAAGAACCUUGCCUGGUCUUGACAUCCACGGAAGUUUUCAGAGAUGAGAAUGUGCCUUCGGGAACCGUGAGACAGGUGCUGCAUGGCUGUCGUCAGCUCGUGUUGUGAAAUGUUGGGUUAAGUCCCGCAACGAGCGCAACCCUUAUCCUUUGUUGCCAGCGGUCCGGCCGGGAACUCAAAGGAGACUGCCAGUGAUAAACUGGAGGAAGGUGGGGAUGACGUCAAGUCAUCAUGGCCCUUACGACCAGGGCUACACACGUGCUACAAUGGCGCAUACAAAGAGAAGCGACCUCGCGAGAGCAAGCGGACCUCAUAAAGUGCGUCGUAGUCCGGAUUGGAGUCUGCAACUCGACUCCAUGAAAGUCGGAAUCGCUAGUAAUCGUGGAUCAGAAUGCCACGGUGAAUACGUUCCCGGGCCUUGUACACACCCGCCCGUCACACCAUGGGAGUGGGUUGCNAAAGAAGUAGGUAGCUUAACCUUCGGGAGGGCGCUUACCACUUUGUGAUUCAUGACUGGGGGUGAAGUCGUAACAAGGUAACCAAUC
rnacentral:rRNA from 1 species